rnacentral:lncRNA from 1 species
UUUUUCCCUUAAAACAUUACUUCUCUGGGGACUACCAGCACCGCCGUAUCACACACCACAUGGUAAACAGAGAUGAAAGUUUACUGCCAGUGAUUGGUGGUCAGAAGUGGAAGAGAAUCUGGCUGUUACUGCAGCACAUCAGGAAAGCCUGGGCCUUUUGUAUCUGCCGCCUGCGUCUUGAUUGUCUUUUAUGAGAUUGGGUUUUUCAUUUUGAUAGAUAAUGAAUUUUACAAGUUGGAGAAAUCAAGAUAAUAAGUUUGCAAGGAUAAUUUGGUUAAUUAGCAUGUUGCUACUGUAGAAUCAAGGGCUGCAAGUCAAAGCGAUUUCACUGCUAAUGUGGUCUAUGCAAAACGUCUCUCAAAAAAAUUAAAACAUCCACCCAGAGUGAUCAGCUCAAGGCUCAUAUUUAAAACUUGUAUUUAUUAUGAAAACCACACACAGUGUUCUCUGUUACUUUUUUUUUUUCCAAAUUGAGGGUUGUGGAAUUACAUUGAUUUGAUGCAAAUUACCAUUGUAUGCACACAGAUCUCUGAAAAAUAAUUUCUAACAUAGAUAAUGAUAGCUUGACGAUAGAAGAGAUAGAGACUUGAAAGAUGAGAGCAUCUAUUCUGGGAACUAUUAUAUAUUUUAAAUAAGGCAUCAUUCUUUACCUAUCUGAUCUUACAGAUAUUUAGCUCAUUUGAACUAAAAAAACUUAGAAAGCCAAUUUUUUCUGAAAUUGGCUUUAAAAUAUCAAGAACAGAGGGGGCAGAGGAUAAACUCAUUCCCUGCCUCUGAUACAGAAAGCCCUGGGUUUU